rnacentral:rRNA from 1 species
UACGAAGGGGGCUAGCGUUGCUCGGAAUUACUGGGCGUAAAGCGUGCGCAGGCGGUUCGUUAUGUCCGUUGUGAAAGCCCCGGGCUCAACCUGGGAAUGGCAAUGGAAACUGGCGGGCUAGAGUGUGGCAGAGGGGGGUGGAAUUCCGCGUGUAGCAGUGAAAUGCGUAGAGAUGCGGAGGAACACCGAUGGCGAAGGCAGCCCCCUGGGCUAGCACUGACGCUCAGGCACGAAGGCGUGGGGAGCAAACAGG